rnacentral:rRNA from 1 species
GAUGAACGCUGGCGGCGUGCCUAAUACAUGCAAGUCGAGCGAACAGACGAGGAGCUUGCUCCUUCGACGUUAGCGGCGGACGGGUGAGUAACACGUAGGUAACCUACCUAUAAGACUGGGAUAACUUCGGGAAACCGGAGCUAAUCCCGGAUAAUAUUUCGAACCGCAUGGUUCGAUAGUGAAAUAUGGCUUUGCUAUCACUUAUAGAUGGACCUGCGCCGUAUUAGCUAGUUGGUAAGGUAACGGCUUACCAAGGCAACGAUACGUAGCCGACCUGAGAGGGUGAUCGGCCACAGUGGAACUGAGACACGGUCCAGACUCCUACGGGAGGCAGCAGUAGGGAAUCUACCGCAAUGGGCGAAAGCCUGACGGAGCAACGCAGCGUGAGUGAUGAAGGGCUUCGGAUCGUAAAACUCUGUUAGGAGGGAAGAACAAACGUGUAAGUAACGGUGCACGUCUGGACGGUACCUAAUCAGAAAGCCACGGCUAACUACGU